GCAUUGUUGGUUUAGUGGUAUAAUGGCCGCCUGCCACGCAUCCCUGGUUCAAUUCCCGGACAAUGCA